AUUGAACGCUGGCGGCAGGCUUAACACAUGCACGUCGAGCGAGCGGCGGACGGGUGAGUAAUGUCUGGGAAACUGUCUGAUGGCGGGGGAUAACUACUGGAAACGGUAGCUAAUACCGCAUACAAUCAGAUGUGCCCAGGUGGGAUUUGCUAGUAGGUGGGGUAAUGGCUCACCUAGGCGACGAUCCCUAGCUGGUCUGAGAGGAUGACCAGCCACACUGGAACUGAACCACGGUCCAGCCUCCUACGAGAGGCAGCAGUGGGGAAUAUUGCACAAUGGGCGCAAGCCUGAUGCAGCCAUGCCGCGUGUGUGAAGAAGGCCUUCGGGUUGUAAAGCACUUGCAGCGAGGAGGCGUUACUCGCAGAAGAAGCACCGGCUAACUCCGUGCCAGCAGCCGCGGUAAUAC
rnacentral:rRNA from 1 species